AUACCUGGUGGCGUUGUUUAUUUCUUCACACUCCUGACGCCGUAAGUGAGAGUUUUGUGGCUUGUCGCCAGUCUAGGUCGUUCGUUGCUUCUUUACAGCGUAGAUUAAAUACCUCGCUAUGGCGUGGAGCGAAGAAUUUACGUUCUCCGAUAACGCAAGAUGCAGGAAUGAGGACAAGGAGACUGAGGGCCGUGCCCCGAGAAUUUGGAAUAAGAUCAAAGCUAAGAGGGCAGUCUAAGUGCAUCAUGUUACGAGCGGUGGGGCCCUGCCUUCUAUAUUGGCUGGCUUCGAGGACAUCGACGAAGCCGGCCUUCGACCUCCUAUUUUUGCUCUAGAACUUACAUAUAUACUUUAAAAUGAAAGGAACAAUAGAGAAGGAGCAAGGAGGAUGUUGGUAUACAGUAGGUUCUUUUGUUUAGAUGCGCCUUUCAUGUUGGAGAUUAGAGCGUUGGGCAUAAGUACAGAUACAUAUAUUGGAUGCAGCAGGGGUAAUGAGCAUGUUCAAAUAAAAGAAAUGGGUAUAUUAUCACAAUUCAGAAAACAGAGAGUAGAUACUUUCAUAUCUCAUAGCACACAGAUCUUUGCUCGCCGUAAUAAUACAAAGAGGAGAAAUCUAGUAAACAUUCGUCGAAAAAAAAAAAAAAAAAAAGGCAGCGUUGGUGCGUUUCAGCAUUCAGCUCUUCCAAAAUGCCGUGGAAACGGAACAACAUCCCUCAGACUGGAAACACCAGCCAGAUAUCCAAGGUAUCGGUCGAACCCAAGUCCAAACCCGCCGUGAGGCGCACUGCCCC
rnacentral:sRNA from 1 species